CGCUAGCCCUACGCAGCCGCCGCCACACCUGCCGAUCCCUGCGCAUCGCACCCAUCCCCGCCGCCAUACCUGCCGUCCCCUGCGCCACCCAUCCCCACCUCGCCCCGCCCGCCGCCUCUCCUUCACGCCGGCGCCCGCUCGCCUCGCCUGCACCGGUCGCCACGCGCUCGCCCCGCAAGGCAAGGAGCUCCCUUCCCCAACCCGAUCUGAUGGAAAGAGGACCAAGCCUUAACGGUCCGGCUGUGGGAGCCACCGUAGAGCCUCCAUGUCGGUGGAGCAGAGCAGCCCGUCGGUGGUCACGACCACGUCAUUCCCUGAUCUCGUCCCGCAGAUCACCGUCUUGCUCCUCCGCCCCACCGCCAUUCCGUUGGAGAUGAGGAUUGCAUUGUUGCGCCGCCGCCGCCGCCACUUCCUACAGACUCCCUGACUCACAGUGCAAGACAUCCCAACUCGGUUCCAUCCGGGUAAAUGCCGCCGCCGCCCUUGGCAGGAUCCCUUUUGGCGGCUUGGAUCUAGGCAAACGAGGAGCGGAAGGAGAGAAGUACGUCUAUGACUCGGGUCAUGGGGAUGGAUGGAUCUCUCGGUACAACGAUGGCAAAUAUUUGUUUUCAUCAGAAGUAUAUUUUCAUGAGAUACAAUGGCAAUCAGGCGGCACAUGCAGAAGAGUUGUGGAAGGUUGAUUGAGAAGUCAUAAGGACUGGGUGAAGCAAAAUGCAAUCUCCAAGUUUCAGGUUUCAAAAUGAGAAAUUGGAGCAUUAAGACCUUUGAACUGAAACCUAAAUAAAGGUAUACAUAUUUAUGUUGGUCUAAAGCCACCAUGUUUUAUCUGUAGAAAAUAGAAAUCGCCGUUCGGUUUCAUUUACAAAUUAAAUUAAACUAUAGACAUAGUCCACGACGUCGGGACAAAUAGAGUAACUAAUUAUAUGUAUGUUUUUUCCAGCAAAGAACUUAUUAUAAAACGGGACACCAGAAAAUCCAGUGGGAAAUUGAUGGGCUCCCCUCUUCGUAAAAAAGUUACUUCACGGCAUUGCCUAAUGUACAGAGAAAUCACGGGGUCAAAAAUUGCUUUCCCGCCCAUGACAUAAUUUAUACAGCAUCACAGAGUGCCUUUUUAUGCAUAAUCGACUUCCCUCGGAAAAGCAUUUGUAAGAUAGCUAAUCAACAUGUCAUUUGUUCUUAAUUCAGAACUGUGCAUGCAUCCAACAGAGAAAGGUGCGUACAUAUCCUGAGGGACAAUAAAAAAUGUGAGUUCUUUAUGGCAUAAUAUCAGGCACCGUUCUGAGUGAUCUCUUUGCAACUCAAGAUACCGAUUAGUUAUAUUAUUUCCUACCUGUAACCAAUUUCUGCACACCAAAACACAGAGUCAAGUCAGAUCUAUAGGAGGAUAAGUAUUCUUGGUGUGAUUACUAAUGAGACAAUGUAAGGAAUUGUUUCUAGAACUCAAUUUUAUUAUAAGUUCAAUAUCAGCACCACACAAUCUUUCUACUACCAUUCCUAGACAAAUAUCAACCCGUUACACAAGACAAUGCAAGAAAACAUAUGUCACACAGGACUAUUCUAUUACCGCGCGCUUCACCGCUGCCGUCGAUGUUCCCAGCAGGCCACAUAUCCUCCAAUGGUAAUCUCAUGGGUCAUCUGAUGAGACCGAUAUGAGCCAAACUUUUAGCUUAAUGAUGCAUGGUUAGAUAUAGAUAGAAGAACCGGUUGUACUAUAUCUUUUUUUUGCCCUGAAGUAGCGCUUCUACUUCUGAUUCAUGUCUACUUCAUGGUUGACAUCUUAAAGAAAAAAUACUCUAAAUUAAAAGGUGCAAAGAUUCUGUGGAUGACAUCCAUGCAUUAAUGCAUAUAGCUCUGAGUCUUCCUUUUCUCUUAUAUAUGAAUCUAUAAUCUGCUUUUGUCCAAUGGUACAAUUUAUCAAGUUCAACAAGGGUGUGGUUAGUGCCUUUUGUCCAUUCAAUCCAAAAACGGAUCGGGUUCUACUAUCGAAAGCGAUAACAAAAAAAAACAUGAAAAAUCAACCAGGUUAGUUCCUUUUUUUGCUAAGAUUUACAAUUAAAGUCAAAUUAGUACUUAAUGUAAGGAAGGUCAAACUUUUGUCUUUACUGAUUUUUGUCUGGUUCGCAGGAGAGAGGGACGAGUUCCCCGGCAUGGGGUCAUGAGUGGUACAAACUGGAGGAUGCAUGCCGGUGGUUCUGUCAGUACAAUUUACUUAGAUUUUCAGUUCUUUUCACCUCAUAAUUAUCUUUUCUUUAUGUGUUAGUACGGUUAAACUUCUUUAUCUUUUGUUCCUUCCUACUUAUGGCCUUCGUGUGCACCUUGAUUAAGUUCUGGUGUUUAUUCGGUGCCAAUGUCUUAAGACAAUAGUUUCAUGCAUGGAUUUAUUCCAGCAUUCUAAUUUAGAGACCUUUGUGCCAGACAGUUUGUUGCAUUCACCUUAAUAGAGAUAAUAAAAUCUUACUGAGUAACAAGCGUAAUGAUGGAGGAACGGACGUCAAUUUAAAGGUGCAUAUUAUUCAGCUUGAUUCAUUGCUGAGGAUUUUUUAAUACAUGGCUUCUAAUUCCAGACCAAGAACUUAAUUCAGAAUCUAAAAAUUGAAGGGGAGGUAGAGGGAUAUUGUUGGUGCUGUCCAGAAACAAUGCUCAUUUAUUUAUUACAGUCGAUGUAUUUCUUGUGUGUCUCAUUGAUUGAGUAUUUGAGUUGGAGCAUAAGUAUAUUAAUGUCUUAGAAUUUGCACAUAUGCUUUAUCCACUUGUCAUUGCUAUUUACAAGUCACAUAUUUAUAUUUGGAUUACAGAUUCUUUGUACUUAUUGUUGUACUUCGUGUUUUCUAUUGAGUGUGGUACCUCUUGAAGGAGGGAAAGCUAGGAUUCAUUGAUGACUGAGGUGCAGAAACUGCUGGACACGUACAAGGACGAGGAGGUGAGCAUCACGGUAAUGGGGCACAGCCUCGGGACGGAGCUGGCCACCCUGAAUGCGUUGUACAUCGCCGAGAAUGGCCGGUCACGGUGUUUGCGUUCGACAGCCCACGACCGGCCGCAGCCGGCUUCAAGAAGCGGUUCGACGUCACUGCGGCCUUUGCGACCGCAACGCCGGGACAUCGUGCCCAGGUACUCGGCGCUGCUGUAACACGAUAUGGGCUCCGAGCUGGCCAUCGACAUCGGCACAUCGCCAUACCUGAGGCCUGAGGGUGUCGCAAGGUCAGUCCAAUCAAUCUCCUACGCCAUAGACGAUGCCCCGACUUUUUUUAUGUCCAUCGACAAUGAUUCCUCACAUAUAAACCAUGCGACAACCAUGGACGACCUUUUGCUGAAGAAUCUAUUGUUUGCUCCAGUGGAUUUGAUCUUUAGUCUUCCCUUUCUUUCUAUGGUUGUGAGUAAUCUAAUCCAAUUCGCAGCUCCAUGCACGAUCAAGGCUAGGGUGUGAAUUAUGACUGUGUCGUAUGAGGCCAUGAUUGUGGCAGGGAUGUUUGGUGGCACGAAGUUGUUUAGUAACAAGAUGGGUCUAAACUCAGCUACUAGAGAUCUGAGCGGAAACACAGGAGGAGUUCCUAUCAUCAGUUCUAGCCGUAAAGUCGAAUGCCUAUGUUGGUGAGCUCUAUAAUCCAAACACCCAGAAGAUGGUACCCCCUUCGUUCCAUAAUAAAAGAUCUUAUUACAUUCGAUGUAAUAAGAUCUUAUAUUAUCGGAUAGCGGGAGUAGAUGUUAUUUUGUACUCUUAGCAUGUAAGUUGUUUUAAACUUUUUAUUAGCAGCUUGUGACUUUUCUAAAAAGUAAGGUCAUGUAGGCACAUGGAGCGCUCCUUUUUUUUGUCACUUUCUACUCAAUUGUAGAGGUUUAUUUAUUGCAGUAUAAUAAUUACUUCUUGUUGAGGUUACUCUGCAGCACUUGCUGUCCUUGCCUUUUCUGAUAUCAAGGGGCCAAUACAACUUCUCUGAUUAUAAAUGUGUGCAACAUGACUAUUUGAAAGAAGCUCUGUUUGAGAAAUUGAGGCUAGAGUUCUGAUGUAAGUACGGCAUCAGCAUUUGUGAGCGCCUUUAUAUGCUGACCGUCUCAUCUUUGCGGCAAGUAAGCAGUUUGAUAUACUGCUUGCUUUGAUAUAGGCAUUUAGCGAUGAAAAUUGUCAUCUAUUCAUGUUUACAUAUACUUAAUCUGAUGGAGACAUGAGCCUGCCGAAUGCCUCCACGUUAGUAAUGCACAUCUCAGACGAUACACUCUUCUUCUUUCUUGACUAAACUUUCACACUGAUUAUGCAUCAUGGAUCAGAUCCAACAUAUUAGUUUAUUUGCAUGUACGUAGACGGAUGACAAGUAAAAUAAAUUCAAGGAUCUUAGUGCAGUUUGUCAGCUACAAUUUCACGAUCAUUUAUGGGCUUAGGGAGUCAUCAUCGUCUCCCCCUUCGCCUUAAUUGUCCUCACCUACAGUCCAACAACCUCCUGGAGCUCGAUUUUAUGCUCGGUUUCAGAUUUGUUAGUAAGGGACUGCUGAUCCUAUUUGUUUGUUCUGAGAACAACGAACAUGUGAACUCCCAUGACCACUCUUUAUUCUAUUUGUAAAUUUAUCUGAUUCUUUCUAUAUGUAUGUACAAUGUUCUUGUUGCGGAGCACAGGAUAGAUGUGAUACUCCAAACUCCCACUAAAUAAUUGCAUAGUUAAUGAUUCAAAUCUUAGCAUCUCAUAAUGGGUGUUGAAUUACGUUCAAGUAAUCUUAUUCGUAUUUGGUGAUCUGUUGUAGUGUACAAAUCAUUUUUCAUAUAUAUCAUGACCUCUUCGUAAUGUUUUCUUACCAUUUCUCAAUGGGCACCGGUUUCUGCUAUCACUUGCAAUUAUUUCUUAGGUAAUUUUCUGGACCAGUACACACCCAUACUUUCAGGAUUACGAACACCAGUGGGUUAAUAUGUUACUAAAACUGUUGGUACCUCAUCUGGUUGGAUGGGGGCUUAAUCUUGUUCUAAAAAAAUACCAGUACACACAUCAAUUUAUUUUAAUGUUCUAGGAUAUAUAAUAAAUGUGUGAUGUUUUUGAACUGUGUUUCACAUGGAACUAUUGAUGUUGUUCUGAACAAAGAAAAAAGUUUGCUUGGUAGGGUUUGAGUCCUUGUUAUUAUGAAAUUUAUAUUUCAGCAUCUUGAGAACUAUGACAUUUUAAACUCCUAGAACUUAUGAAGCAGAAUAAUAUUUCAAGUUGUUUACAAUUAGGGUGGACAGGCAAUAAGGCUUCUUGAAUCUGCACAAGUCAUGUACAUUUGACAUCUCAACGUACACGUAGCGCUGCAUCAAUCUUUUGACAUAUCAUUGUCUAAUCAAAUGCUCAUGAUUUAGAUGAAGUGGCAAAAUCCAUAUAGUACUUGUUCUUCUCUGAGUACGUUAGUUCCAUGUGGCUUCCGAGGUUGUGCCUUCCGGGAAUUAAAGCAGCAUUAGCAGUACUCUGUACUCAUACCCAUGAUUGACUAAUAUGAUUGCACUACCACUUGUAUUCCUUUUGUUAGUAUGCACGUAAUCUACUAUUCUUUCCGCAUUCAGAUUCUGCCUUGUGGUGUGUUUCUUUGAUUCAGAUUAUGCCUGAACCAGCGGGAGCCUUUGAAGCAGCGAGAGAGUAACGGAUGGGGAAACUGGCAGAUCCUUUUGUGUGGACGACAGCUCGACGGUGGCAACUCGACCAGGUUUGCCGUGAGAAGGCCAGACUAUGCGAGAGAUUUGGCGUGUGUAGUUUAUCUUGUCGCUAAUUACGGUGGAGUGUGGUUAGAUUAUCAGCUUUGUUAGAUGCAUAGGGCAUGGAAGGAGCGGUGGAUAUGAGCUCCUACGGCAGAACUACUAUGCCUUGAGCAACUUCAGAGGAGCCGGCUCCCACUGAGAAUACAUUUUAUUUUCUUUAGCCGAUUAAUUGCAAUAAUUAAUGAGGGCUGAUGCACCCCGGGAGCAGCUGCCAAGAUGGAAGUUGUAGCAAAUAGGACGCCUUCCAUCGAAGGGAAACUCCGGGCAACUCCGCUCUCGUUGGCUGGCGAUGCAUGAUGAGGCCAAUGGACAGCUCGGUGCUACACAAAUGAAUCAAGGAGAACAUGUUAACAGACCAGCAACGUGCUAGGAGGCCAACAGGAGCAUUACCUGGUGUUGACCGGCGGGCAAAUGACAUCAUAUAUGUUUUUGUCCAACCAAGGAUUUUGUCACAUGUGUAGUGCAGUCUAAAAAUAAUAAGCUAGGAGGUUAUGCCCUACCAUCUGCAAGAACAAUGGAUUGUGUACUGAACAUAAGCUUUUUUUUGCAAGUUUGCUCUCAGUUAUGUCUUUGGCGGGGCAUACUUGAUCAUAGAAUUUGUAUGAAAGAAGGGGUGCCGGGCAACCUGCUAGGAGAUGGCACAGAUGGGCCUUGAGGACAUGGCACCGUUCAGGAGGGCGGCAUUCCGACAACACUCCAGCAUAGACUCAUCAUGGUACCUAGACGUGGGCUGGUAAACAGAGGUAACAAGGAGCUUGAACAUCAGGACAUCAAGAAGGAAGCUGAUGAUGAUGAAUACGACCAUCUUGGCGUGGAUUGCUGCCGCUGCCAUGCCCAUGUCCAGCAACAUGUUGUUGUGCCAGUGCUGCAACCUUCUACUCCAAACACGAUCGCAGGCAAUGUGAUCAUGAACUUCUGGGAUACUUAACGUUCCCUGUAUUUUUCUAGCAAUGUCUUAGUUAGGACGUAGAUGCAAGGGCUCAUAUAAAUCUCGAUGAACUGAUAUUAGUUACCAUGAUAAUUUGGUUCUAUAUAUGGCCAUAUCCGAAUCAUUUUAGGCUUAUAAUGGCAUUUUCUUUAAUGAUUUAUUUAUAGAGUAUUACAAUGGUGACAAUGGAGGGAUUCUUCUCUUUUCGUAUACCAUGUAUAUUUCGUGUUUACACCUUCA